GUUGUAUAGUCAAGUAAUUAAGUGCAUGUGGUGGAUGCCUUGGCAGUCAGAGGCGAUGAAAGACGUGAUAGCCUGCGAAAAGCUCCGGGGAGGCGGCAAAUAUCCUUUGAUCCGGAGAUGUCUGAAUGGGGGAACCCACCUACUUUAAGGUAGGUAUUGCAACAUGAAUACAUAGUGUUGCAAGGCGAACGAGGGGAAGUGAAACAUCUCAGUACCCUUAGGAAAAGAAAUCAAUUGAGAUUCCCUCAGUAGCGGCGAGCGAACGGGGA
rnacentral:rRNA from 1 species